ensembl:lncRNA
AAAUAUUCCUAAUUGUCCCUGGAUCAGGAAAUGGCAACCCACUCCAGUAUUCUUGCCUGGAAAAUUCCAUGGACAAGGAGCCUGGUGGGGUACAGUCUAAAGGGCUGUAAAGAAUCAGACACAACUGAGGGACUGAGCACAUACACUUUCCUAAUCGUAGAGUCUUUUAGGCAGAAAAAACAUGGCCAUGCAGUGUUAGUCACUCAGUCAUGUGCAACUCUUAGCAACCCCCUGGACUGUAGCCAGCCAGGCUCCUCGUCCAUACUGGAGCAGGUUGCCGUUUCCUUCUCCAGAGGACCUUCCCGACCCAGGGAAUUUGGGUCUCCCGCAUUGCAGGAAAGAUGCUUCACCAUCUGAGCCACCAGGAAAGCCUGGCCAUGCAGAGGUCCUGAGCUAAAUAAAGAAUGACACUGAAUAAAGAUAUGGAGAAAGAAAAGGAAGAUGGAUAGGAGAAAAUAACAGAGAAACCAAGAUUCACCUUCUUCCUGUCCUAGCUCUUCCACUGAAUGACUGAAAUUUGGAUUUGACAAGCACUUCACUACGGAUUCUAGUUUGAUCAGUUUAUAAAACAUUUAAGGUAAACUUUUACAACAUUUAACGUGGAUUCCAAGGUAGAUUUAAAUACCUGGCUUUGGAUUUUUCAGCAAAAAUGCAAGUAAAACCCUGGGACACAUUACUAAAGGAACAUUUAAAUGUAUAGCUUAGAUUUGGGUCCUAGGAUAUAUUCAGAGUUCAGGGACUGAGUGUCUAAAACGUUUCUAAAUUACUGGAAGAGGUAGUUCCUCUUCCUACAUCUCUGGCCUACAUCUUCCCAG